rnacentral:rRNA from 1 species
CGAAACUCUCCCUGUCUCUAUUAGACCUAUAAAACUUACCCUUUAGGUGAAAAGGCCUAAAUUUUAUUUAAGGACAAAAAGACCCCGUAGAGCCUUAUUUUACCCCUUAAUUUCCCUUAAUAAUACUUAAGGCUUACAAUUUAGUUGGGGCAACUAAGGACAAUCCAAAUCGACCUUUACCUUCCAACGGUUAACCAACCUAUCACAUGACCCAUUACUUGACCACCGAAAAGGCUACCUCAGGGAUAACAGACUAAUCUCCUUCAAAAGCCCAAAUUUACAAGGAGGAUUGGCACCUCGAUGUUGGCUUAGGAA